rnacentral:rRNA from 1 species
UACGUAGGGGGCGAGCGUUGUCCGGAAUUAUUGGGCGUAAAGAGCGUGUAGGCGGUUCGGUAAGUCUGCCGUGAAAACCUGGGGCUCAACCCCGGGCGUGCGGUGGAUACUGCCGGGCUAGAGGGUGGUAGAGGCGUGUGGAAUUCCGGGUGUAGUGGUGAAAUGCGUAGAGAUCCGGAGGAACACCAGUGGCGAAGGCGACACGCUGGGCCGUACCUGACACUGAUGCGCGACAGCAUGGGGAGCAAACAGG